AUUGAACGCUGGCGGCAGGCUUAACACAUGCAAGUCGAGCGAGCGGCGGACGGGUGAGUAAUGUCUGGGAAACUGCCUGAUGGAGGGGGAUAACUACUGGAAACGGUAGCUAAUACCGCAUACUAUCGGAUGAACCCAUAUGGGAUUAGCUAGUAGGUGGGGUAAGGGCUCACCUAGGCGACGAUCCCUAGCUGGUCUGAGAGGAUGACCAGCCACAAGUGAACUGAGACACGGUCCAGAACCCUAUGGGAGGCAGCAGUGGGGAAUAUUGCACAAGGGGCGCAAGCCUGAUGCAGCCAUGCCGCGUGUGGUAAGAAGGCCUUCGGGUUGUAAAGUACUUUCAGCGGGGAGGCGUUACCCGCAGAAGAAGCACCGGCUAACUCCGUGCCAGCAGCCGCGGUAAUUC
rnacentral:rRNA from 1 species